rnacentral:tRNA from 1 species
GGAGAUGUCGCAUAGCUGGUCUAGUGCACCGUCUUGGAAAGGCGGCAAAGGGCAACCUUUCGUGAGUUCGAAUCUCACCAUCUCCGCCA